AUUUCGGUAAGAGCGACCGGUCCGCCGUUUGGUGUGCUUUGGUUGGUUUUAACUUCCUGUAGAGGACGUGUUCUGGGCUUAACGGUCUGGACUCGGAGUCUACGUGGUUACUUUGAAAAAAUUAGAGUGUUCAAAGCGGGCUUACGCUUGAAUAUUUCAGCAUGGAAUAACACUAUAGGACUCCUGUCCUAUUUCGUUGGUCUCGGGACGGGAGUAAUGAUUAAGAGGAACAGUUGGGGGCAUUCGUAUUUCAUUGUCAGAGGUGAAAUUCUUGGAUUUAUGAAAGACGAACUUCUGCGAAAGCAUUUGCCAAGGAUGUUUUCAUUAAUCAAGAACGAAAGUUGGGGGCUCGAAGAUGAUUAUAUACCAUCCUAGUCUCAACCAUAAACGAUGCCGACUAUGGAUUGGCGGAUGUUAAUUGAUGACUCCGUCAGCACCCUUAUGAGAAAUCAAAGUUUUU
rnacentral:rRNA from 1 species